rnacentral:lncRNA from 1 species
GGGAUACUUUGCUCUCACCAGGCUCCCUCGAGCCGGCGGCCUCCUGUGUCCCCUCGGACAUCGUGUGCAUCAACAGUGAGCACUCGCAGAGUGUCUGUCCCAGCAACACCAGGCUUUCUCCUCCGCGUGCCAACCUAUGGGAGAAGCGGGACGAGGCUGAGUUCGCAGCUCAGGCCCCCGAGCGCUGGGGAACCCUCCUCCCUCGGCAGCCUCAGGCAGCCCCUUCC